UUGAGGCUCUGGUCCGUAAGAAACAACAUUCCCAGGCACAACGUGCCCCCUGUUCGCUCCUGAUUCGGCCCGGCCUCAGGUCCUGGAAUGGGCUCACUCCUCCAGGCUUACCUGUCAUCCUGGAGCUCGUCGUACCCUGGCUUUCCUCCGACAAUGCUUCUGGUGGCCCACCAUGGCUCCUGAUGCCUAGGCCUUCGUCGCCGCAUGCAUGGUGUCUGCUCAAAGCAAGACUCCGCGGCAAGCUCUGUCUGGCCUCCUUCAGCCACUGCCUAUCUCUCAUCGCCCCUUUUCCCAUAUUUCGUCACUGGGCUUCCCCCGUCAGAUGGUAACACCACCAACACCACCAUGCUGACGGUGGUGGAUGGGUUCCCCAGAUGUUCAUCUGCCGCUGUCGGCGUACCUGGAAAAGAGCUCGGGCAGCUCUUCUCAAGACCACCUCUGGGUAUCAUCGGCAAGCGGACCGCCACCGGACUCUGGCUCCCCGCUAUUGGGUCGGGCACAGGGUAUGGUUGUCCACAUGGGACCUGUCCCUCCGGGUGGAAUCCCACAAACUUUCCCCCCGUUUCAUUGGUCCUUUCCCCAUUGCUAGAGUCCUUAGUCCCACUGCUGUCCGUCUGCUGUUACCCCGUACCCUCCGUGUUCACCCAACAUUUCAACUGUUCAAGCCUUUGUCUUCUGUUUCUAGGCCCAUUUCUAGGUGUCAUCGACGGUCAGCCAGCAUACACGGUGAGACGCCUCCUGAGGGUUCGACCAUGGGGCUUGGGUUUCCAGGACCUGGUUGACUGUGGGUUAUGGGCAGGAGGAGAGGUGCUGGGUUCCCACUAAAGACGUCCUGGACCCGACCGUUGUCACCGCCGGCACCCCGGUCAGCCAGGUGGUGCCCAGGUAGGACGCCACUUGGUGCCCAGGUAGAACGCCAGGUGGUACCCAGGUAGAACGCCAGGUGGUGCCCAGGUAGAACGCCAGGUGGUGCCCAGGUAGAACGCCAGGUGGUACCCAGGUAGGAUGCCAGGUGGUGCCCAGGUAGAACGCCAGGUGGUGCCCAGGUAGAACGCCAGGUGGUACCCAGGUAGGACGCCAGGUGGUGCCCAGGUAGAACGCCAGGUGGUGCCCAGGUAGAACGCCAGGUGGUGCCCAGGUAGAACGCCAGGUGGUGCCCAGGUAGAACGCCAGGUGGUGCCCAGGUAGAACGCCAGGUGGUACCCAGGUAGAACGCCAGGUGGUGCCCAGGUAGUACGCCAGGUGGUGCCCAAGUAGGAUGCCAGGUGGUGCCCAGGUAGAACGCCAGGUGGUGCCCAGGUAGAAAGCCAGGUGGUGCCCAGGUAGAACGCCAGGUGGUGCCAGGUAGGAUGCCAAGUGGUGCCCAGGUAGGACGCCAGGUGGUGCCCAUAGAGAGGUGUGUGAGCUCGCUCCACAUCAUGGAAGACAGACAGGUACACCCACUAUGACUGGCCAGUCACGCCCCCUGUUGCUCAUCAUUUUAUUUAGUGCGAUGUUUAUUCCUUUCAUUUGGUUUUCAGUAUCAUUUUAAUUUUACAUUUGCUCUUUUGAAAUUGUGUUCCCUGUUUGUCUGUUGCCAGUUCGUCUUGUCAAGUCAACCAGCAUGUUUUUCCAUGCUCCUGCUGUUUCUUAUCUCUCUUUUGAUAGUUCUCCCGGUUUUGACCCUUGCCUGCCUUGACCCUGAAACCACCUGCCUGACCAUACUGCCUGCCCUGACCUCGAGCCUGCCUACCACUCUGUACCUCCUGGACUCUGAC
ensembl:lncRNA